rnacentral:lncRNA from 1 species
AUACAGAAUUGCUGCUUAAGUGGAACAACUGUCUCUAAUAUGACUGGUUUCAUACCUGAAUGAUGCAACCCAGUUCACCUCUCAGUAAAUGAAACUCCCGUUAAAUGGGCCAUAUUUUCUUAGUCCCUUCAGGUUCCGUUUGAGUGCAA